rnacentral:rRNA from 1 species
UACGUAGGGUGCAAGCGUUGUCCGGAAUUAUUGGGCGUAAAGAGCUCGUAGGCGGUUUGUCGCGUCUGCUGUGAAAACGCGAGGCUCAACCUCGCGCCUGCAGGGGGUACGGGCAGACUAGAGUGCGGUAGGGGGGAUUGGAAUUCCUGGUGUAGCGGUGAAAUGCGCAGAUAUCAGGAGGAACACCGGUGGCGAAGGCGGGUCUCUGGGCCGAUAUUGACGCUGAGGAGCGAAAGCGUGGGGAGCGAACAGG